rnacentral:lncRNA from 1 species
GGGAGCGACGCGGGAGACCGCGCGCCGAGCGCCUGGAUAGUCUGGCCCGCCCCCACCGUGGCCUGCGUCUGUCUAUCUGCACCACCGGGCCUCGCCUGCGCGGCGCCGCCUCUCUCCUUGCCGCGGUCCUGAUCCUGCCCGACCUUAUUCCACCUUGCUCCUUCCCGGGACUCAGCGCUCAUCGGCAAUAAACUCCAGCCUCAGCUGGCUUACCUGGUCUGUGGUCGUUGGCCUCGGCCGCUGGUCCCUUCUAGCUCCGUGGCCGCGCGGCCUUAAAGGCUUUCCUCUCUCAUUGCUCACAUGUAAUUUUUGGGUUGGAAUGGGGAGAAGCGGCUUGCCAGUUUUCGGGGCCAUUGAAGGUCAGAUACUGUAAAGGCCUUACCAGUUUUCGGGGUGUCAUCUCGUAUAGCUUCGGAGACAGUGGUGCGUGCUGGAAACUGCAGUUGGUAUAGUUUGCAAUGGCAGGGGUAGAGGAUGUCACCCGUAAGCUAGCUUGUCCUGGUUUGGGUGGUGACAUUUGCUGCUUUGGAAGUGUGGAGCAUAUAGCUGAACCAAACCAAAACUGGUCUGCAUUGCUGUUGGUGCCAUGUUGAGACUGGUGUAGCUUCUGAUAAAGAAGUCAUGCGAUUGAGUCCAUUUUCCCUUACCCAUGACUGUGGCUUGGCCGUAGGCAGGCCUGGGAUAUACUCUGCUGGCCAGCUGCAAGAAGGGGUUUCCUUUAUGGCCUGCCUUCCCCCUAGGCUGGACAGCAUCAGGAACCUGAGGCCUCUUGUCAGAUGGGAGUGUUACCUGUCCUGCUGGUUCCCUUCUGUCCUACCAGCAUCCCCCACGGGAUGAUGUACAGCAAUGUACUUAAAUCUCUCUGGUCUUGUAAAAGGAAGACAACACAUUGUUGCUCAGAAUUAAACUAGUGAUCGAAACC